UACGUAGGGUGCAGGCGUUAAUCGGAAUUACUGGGCGUAAAGCGUGCGCAGGCGGUUUGCUAAGACAGGUGUGAAAUCCCCGGGCUUAACCUGGGAACUGCGCUUGUUACUGGCAAGCUAGAGUGUGGCAGAGGGGGGUGGAAUUCCACGUGUAGCAGUGAAAUGCGUAGAGAUGUGGAGGAACACCGAUGGCGAAGGCAGCCCCCUGGGCUAACACUGACGCUCAUGCACGAAAGCGUGGGGAGCAAACAGG
rnacentral:rRNA from 1 species